GGGGAUGAUACAGGAUUUGAUAGUAGGACUUCGCAAGUCGUUUGUGCUUAUUCGGGGCUUCUCGCCUCGUUAUCAAAGGGAAAAACUUAGAUGCAAAGACAUCUCCUCUUACUCGCCUUGCAAAAUCUUUCAAGGCAGCUCCAGCUUACGCUAUUGCCUAACUUAUAGCGAAGCGUAGCCUUUCCGAUGGAUUGAGUGCCAGAUGGCCUGCUACAACCAUUUUCUCAGAUUUCUAUAAUGAGAAAAUUAUUUUAUAGAACGAAUAUUCGGAGUUUUUAAAAUUUUUGUAAAAAUAUUUGUAUUUUAAAAAUUUUGAUUUUCAGUUUUUUGAAAUUUUUCUUGUCUGAAAAUCUAUUCAAAAAUUUCUAUAAUAAGUAGAAUCACUCGGUUUGCCCUAUUAGACGCGGGGGCGGUGCCCGCCAUCUCCACCA
rnacentral:tmRNA from 1 species